UACGUAGGGUGCAAGCGUUGUCCGGAAUUAUUGGGCGUAAAGAGCUCGUAGGCGGUUUGUCGCGUCUGCUGUGAAAACCCGAGGCUCAACCUCGGGCCUGCAGUGGGUACGGGCAAACUAGAGUGCGGUAGGGGAGAAUGGAAUUCCUGGUGUAGCGGUGGAAUGCGCAGAUAUCAGGAGGAACACCGAUGGCGAAGGCAGUUCUCUGGGCAGUAACUGACGCUGAGGAGCGAAAGCGUGGGGAGCGAACAGG
rnacentral:rRNA from 1 species